UGUUUUAUGCAAAUGUUGUAAUGAGCAUAAGCUCACCUUUACUUUGAAGUACUUCUUUCUUGCGUUAUUUGAUAUGCAUGAAAAUGAAGUAGUUGGUUGGGUCCAACGCCCCUAAGACAACACGCCUUAAUGUGAUUAAACGCGUAACUAAAAUCAAUCACCAUCCCUAGAUCGAGAUUCAACACAAGGCUCGUGUUGAAUCUAAACAAAGGUUCAUAGUCAUCCUAAGGCCCUAAGGCAACUA
rnacentral:lncRNA from 1 species